CAAAACCAUAAUUACCAGAAAGUGUUGCACAUCAGAGCUCUGCAACACCCAACCUGCCCCCGAGCCCAGCAAAUCCAAUCCAAACGGCAAAAAGUGCUUCACCUGUGAUGGACAAUCAUGCACCGCAACUCUGAACUGUGACGGGGAUGAGGACUACUGCAUCUCAUCAAAAGUGAAUGUAGGAAAUGACAAGGUGACCGUGAAAGGCUGUGCCUCCAAGUUGGUCUGCUCAAAUACACUGUCUGAACAGAUAUCAGGGGCCAUUGGAGCAGAAGUUAGCUGCUGUCAGGGGAACUUCUGCAACAGUGCCAGCAGCACGAGUGCUGGACUUCUGCUCCUGCUGACACCACUGGUCUCUUUGGUCGUGUUUUCUUAAGUGGUGGAGAUGGCAGCAUCACUGCAGCACAUGGCAAACAGCUUUUCUUCUCAUCUUCACAUGGCCUCAUAGUGCUUACACACCCUUGGCCUUAUCUUUCUACCUGAUGAGUGAGACAGUUUAGCAAACAAAGCAUAAAAUAUAACUUAGUGAAGUUGUGAUUUUUAUUGGUGUCUUGCCUCAAACAGUUUCUAGCCAUGUUGCCUGUGGAGACAAUUGCAACUGUCUUGCACAGAAUAACUGUCUACAAUAGCUUUUAUUUUUAUUUUAAAGUAAAACAAGUAAAAUGUGAAAAACACGUUGAAGCAUAAUGUUUGUUCUGAGUGCUGUGCUUAACCUGAAACAUAUUUUUAAUUUCAUUUAUCAAAAUCAUUCUUUUGAUACUGAUAAAAUGCUCAAUAAAUAAUACAUUUCUUAUCUUUGCUGUGUA